rnacentral:rRNA from 1 species
UACGUAGGGGCCUAGCGUUGUCCGGAUUGACUGGGCGUAAAGCGCACGCAGGCGGACGCGCGCGUGGGGUGUGAAAUCUGGCCGCUUAACGGCCAGGCGCCAUCCCAUACGGCGCGACUGGAGUGAUGCAGAGGUCGAUGGAAUUGCCGGUGUAGUGGUGAAAUGCGUAGAGAUCGGCAGGAACACCCAGGGGGAAACCAGUCGACUGGGCAUCUACUGACGCUGAGGUGCGAGAGCGUGGGGAGCGAACCGG